UGAGAAAUUAAGCAGAAAUCUUGUUUUCCAUCUGUUAAGCAACAAUAACCAAACUAAUAUAUAAAUGAAUUAAUUAAAAUAAAAUAAAACAAUUUGCUGCCUUUUAAUUUCUUGAUACUCCUUUUCAGAUAGGAUGUCAAGCUGGUAAAAUGUACAUCUUGACCAGAGAGUUCUCUGAUUUUAUUCACACUGUUUAUUUUCUGUUUUAAAGGUACAGCCGGAAGACGAGAAAACCUUUGUUGGAAUGUUGGCCUGUUUUUGCUUCCUGGCCCAGCCUUUACAAAGCUACCUACAGUGGCAGAACGAAGAAAAAUGACACAAACUGGAUUUGGUAGCCCUGUGGAUGACACAGGUAAACAAAAAGUGGCCAAAAUCCAAAUGAACUGGAGUUUGGCAGAUUUCAAACAAUUUAUCUGUCAAAGUUUCCCAGAUGUCAGCCUGAAUUUGAUUGGAUAUGAGUUAGCCAAAGCUGACAGAGGAAAGAACCUAAAGAAAGUUCAGGUUGCUUCUGUCAGAGAAUUAAAGCAAGCUCUUGGCCGGAGUAGGCUGUACAUUUUGCCUUUAGUAGAAUUAUACCAGGAAUCAGGACCUUCUUUGUACUCAUCACAAAAUGAACCUGAACCAGGAACCAACUCUGAGGCAACUCCAUGUGUAGUCAUUGACCUUACUGAUUUUACAAACCAGGAGCUUAUUGGCAACACAGAGGACACUGCAGACAGCACAGUGGUAACCAGGAAUAAACUUAUAACAUUUUGAACUAGUAUGUACAGCCUCUGUUGACCAUUUGUUUCUCAAAAUAUUUAUUUAAUUCAGAUACUUUUUGAUGUGUUAAUAGGUCUUGCAGCAGUGGCGAUCUUUACGGCAAGAACAAGACAAAGAAUUUGAACAGUCUUUAAUGGAAGACAGAGCAAAAGUAAGUAACUAUUACAACAUUCAACAAACAAUCUUUGAUUAACAACAUUAAGGAAUAUAUACACUGCAUUAGCUACUAUUUUUAAAUGUUGAGGUCCUCUUUCUUAAUCUUGG
ensembl:lncRNA